GAAAUGCGAUAAGUAAUGUGAAUUGCAGAAUUCAGUGAAUCAUCGAAUCUUUGAACGCACCUUGCGCUCCUUGGUAUUCCUUGGAGCAUGCCUGUUUGAGUAUCAUGAAAUCUUCAAAGUAAAUCUUUUGUUAACUCAAUUGGUUUCUACUUUGGUAUUGGAGGUCUUUGCAGCUUCACACCUGCUCCUCUUUGUUCAUUAGCUGGAUCUCAGUGUUAUGCUUGGUUCCACUCGGCGUGAUAAGUUAUCUAUCGCUGAGGACACUGUAAAAGGUGGCCAAGGUAAACGCAGAUGAACCGCUUCUAAUAGUCCAUUGACUUGGACAAUACUUUUAUGAUCUGAUCUCAAAUCAGGUAGGACUACCCGCUGAACUUAAGC
rnacentral:misc_RNA from 1 species